rnacentral:rRNA from 1 species
GGGCGUAAAGGGCGCGUAGGCGGCGCGACAAGUCACUUGUGAAAUCUCUGAGCUCAACUCAGAACGGUCAAGUGAUACUGUCGUGCUAGAGUGCGGAAGGGGCAACUGGAAUUCUUGGUGUAGCGGUGAAAUGCGUAGAUAUCAAGGGGAACACCUGCGGCGAAGGCGGGUUGCUGGGCCGACACUGACGCUGAGGCGCGAAAGCUAGGGAAGCGAACGGGAUUAGAUACCCCGGUAGUCCCAGCCUUAAACGAUGAAUGCUUGGUGUCCGGAGUUAGAUAGUCUCCGGGUGCCGUCGCUAACGCUUUAAGCAUUCCGCCUGGGGAGUACGGUCGCAAGACUGAAACUCAAAGGAAUUGACGGGGACCCGCACAAGCGGUGGAGCAUGUGGUUUAAUUCGACGCAACGCGAAGAACCUUACCUAGUCUAGAAUGCGCCUGACAGCCCUAGAGAUAGGGUUUCUUGGGUAAAACCAAGCAGGAUGCAAGGUGCUGCAUGGCUGUCGUCAGCUCGUGUCGUGAGACGUUGGGUUAAGUCCCGCAACGAGCGCAACCCUUAUCAACAGUUGCCAGCGGUUCGGCCGGGAACUCUGUUGAGACUGCCGUUGAUAAAACGGAGGAAGGUGGGGAUGACGUCAAGUCCUCAUGGCCUUUAUGACUAGGGCUACACACGUGCUACAAUGGCAGGUACAAAACGCUGCAAACUCGCAAGAGUGAGCCAAUCGUAAAAAGCCUGUCUCAGUUCGGAUUGGAGUCUGCAACUCGACUCCAUGAAGUUGGAAUCGCUAGUAAUCGCAGAUCAGCACGCUGCGGUGAUACGUUCCCGGUCUUGUACUCAC